UAACCGGAAGACUGCUUUUUGACGGCAAACAAAUCAGUAUUAGAAACAUACCAAGAAGCGAUUUGAUGUUUGCUGCUGCCAGGGAUCCGCACACCUAGUUCCUCAGAGGCGCAUCUAGCAGGAAUGGACUCACUUUCCUAUUUUGUCUUUUCUAUCCCUAUUUAUCAUAAGUAUGGAUCAGAAUAUAGGCUUAACACCCUCCUCCCCUACUCCUUUUUUACAAAGAUUUAUUUAUUUAUUUUAUGUAUGAGUACAGUGUAGCUGUUCUCAGACACACCAGAAGAGGCCAUUGGAGUCCGUUACAGAUAGAUGUGGUUGCUGGGAAUUGAACUCGAGACCUCUGGAAGAACGGUCAGUGCUCUUAACUGCUGAGCCAUCUCUCCAGACUCCACCCCCCAAGCCCACUUUGUUUUUAAGGUUCUAUUUAGCCCAGGCUAGCUUUGAAUGGACUAAAGAACCAAACAUGACCUUGAACUGCUGCUCCUCCUGCCCCCUCCUCCUGAGCGCUGAGAUCCAGGCAUGUACCACCUCACUCAGUUUUGUGCAGUGCUGGGGAGGGAACCCAGAACCUCAGGCAUGCUAGGAAAAUACUCUACCCACUUAGCCACAUCCCUAGACCACAUUUUCAUAAGCUGGUUCCAGGAGGGACUUCUACGGCAGCCAAAUCAGUUAGUAUGAAUCAGUAAUGGCGGACACACAUCUCUCAGAACCCCCAAGGGAGGAGGAAGUGAGUGCUGAAGUCGACUGAGACUUUGAUUAAUAACAUUGUAUAAGUAUUAGUUCAUGUGUGCAAAUGUAACAUUGUAAAGCUAGGCGUGAAUAGCUGGGUGUGCACUGCUGGAGGCUAGGACCAGGUAAGUGGCUGUCUACAUUUUUGUUGUUGUUUGUUCAAAUUUUUUCUAUAAACCUAAAACUUCUCUAGAAAAAUAAUUAUUGAGUAUAUUGAGUAUAUCCCCCCCCCCGCUUUUUUGUUCUCUGGGUGGCUUUGGUCUUCUCAUCUGGAGAACAAGAGCAUUAAUAGCCCCUUUGUAAAGAGUCCUUAGAAGAAGAGAUACAGAGUGUACUCAGAAUGUGCCCAACACAUGACGCGCCAGGGCAGCACUAGCAUGUGCCAGGUACCACUUAAAAAUUCCACCUGUCAAGUGGCUUAAGUCUCAUGACAGUCUAGUGGGUAGAAACUUCUGUCAUCCUCAUUACAAAAGGGAAAACUUGAAACUUAAAGAUUACAUAACUUGUUCAAGGUCACAUCACCAGUAUGAAGUUAACUGGGACUCAACCACUAGGCCUGCUUUCACCAUACGAAUGACUGCCUCCAAGAUGCGCAGACACAAGCCUUUGUUAGCUCCUGGAAAUCUUCUUAACUAGCCAGCAUGACCUCUUUUUGUUCACAGGUAAGAGAGGCAGAAAAAGCCCAAAUGCCAGCAGGCAGAGUCUUGGUGCUGCUGACAUUAGAAUCAAGGCUUCUGCCUCCCAAAGACUUGGACCCAUAUGACCCUUUCCCACCCACCAAGCAGCAAAAGCUCUACCCCAUACAGAAAAGAAGCAAGGGUAGAGUCACAAAAGCAAGUGGUUCACAAAGCAUCCUCUAUCCAAAGCCUGCAUCAGUUUGCUCUACUCCCCUGAAAUUCUACAAGGCCCUUCAUCUUCAGCCUGGUCCUCCCAGCCUUCUUCUCAAGGACACUCAGCCACCAGGCACUUCAGAAUGCUCACCCACAAAGAGGGAACCUCAACAUAACCAAGCAAACUCCACAGGAGGGCUGAAACCCCCCAGCAGUAACAACAAACCCACCUCCUCUCUCCUUCACCUACUUUUUAAAGAUGCUGGAUGCCAGAAAACUACAGGAUGACAGAGCCGGAAAAAGAGGCACUCACUCAAACUCAAAUGAGGGGUUGGGUGGGGGAUAAGGACAGGAGAAGCCUUGCUAGGCACAGUUUAAAACAAAAACAAACAAACAAACACCCAAACCAAAGUAGGAAGUAAACAUUUUUCAAUGUAAAACUGUUCCAAGAUAAACUGCAGAAUUCUAAAUCCUCAAAGAUAAGGUAUAGCAAAGUCAGAAAUGUUUGCUGCCACGAGACAAGAGCAAAUGCUUGGUAAGGGACGUGGUCAGCUCAUACUCACCCAGCUCCAUGGACAAAUGGCUGCCCAGUGCUUGUAAUGCCCCAGCUCUGUCUCAUGACCAGAGACAGCGGGUGAAGACCCAAGUGUGUAACUGUCCUAUCAUACAGGGUAGAGGAUGUCUCCCAUGCCAAAACGGCACGUUAAGGGCUGAUGCGGGUAGUGUGUAUAAUCCCAGUAAGCCUGUGAACCAGAUGUAGUUAUCACCCCUGCAUCCUGUGCUGCAGAUGGGAAAGCUGAAAUGCACACUGGCUUCAGACAGCAAGCUAGGCUUUCACUGACUGUAUAUGCUCCAGAGCAGUGAGCAAUAGGACUAUGGGCAGAAGAGUGGACACUUGUGAGGGGCUGGAACAAGACACUAUGACAGGCACUGGUUUGGGUGUCUACUUAACGACUGGCUGGACAGGGACAACCUUUAGGAUGCUGCACUAAUGAGCAGACACCCAUGAGAGAGAAGGACAGAGAGGUCAUGAUGGUCAGAAGCCUUAAAAGUUGCCCAUGCAAUGUUCCCGUCACUGAUCCUGAUUUCCAGGUCAGGCCUUGGCAUCUGCAUUCCCCAGGAAGUGUCUCUUCUUGCAGGCCAGGCUUGAGAAGAACCAUCCUUAAACACUCCAGGUGCUACCACCAAGAGCGGCCUGGAAACUUGUUGGUUCCCUCUGUGGCCUGAAUGGACUCCAUGGUCUCAAUCCUUAUGUUCAAGCCACAGCCCUCUAUAUGAGAGCAUUCAGAGGCCUUUGAGUGUAUGUGAAGGGGACUAGGGUUAAAGGAGACUAGGGUGGUGGGGUUCCUAUAAUGGAGUAGUGCCCUUAUAAGAAGAAGGAGGGGGAGGAGGAGGAAAAAGAGGAGGAAGGGAAACAGAAGGAAGCUUAAUCAUUUUCUCAGUUUCAUAGGAACAUAUCACACAAAGGCAUCUCUCUCUCUAAGCCAGACAGUCCUCACUAAGACACCAGAAAAAUCAGUAACUCCAUCUUUAACUUUCCAGAGGGCAGAGUCACUAAAGCAAGUGGAUCACAAAGUAUCCUCCAUCCAAAACCUGCAUCAGUUUGCUUUGCUCCCCUGAAAUGGUACAAGACCUUUCAUCUUCAGCCUGGUCCUCUCAGGCUUCCUCCCACGGACACACACAGAUCUGUGAGAAAGCAUCUUUUUAGCCACCUAGCCUGGGGUAUUUUGUUAUAGCAGUCAGUGACAGACUCAAGGUCCCUGCCAUUCAUUACCGUGGCACAGGUUUGGGCCACACCCACCUGCUGACUUCUGUGUUGCUUGCACUACAUAGGCCAGGGUAUCUCAACCUAUGAGCCACAACCCAAAUGACCUUUCAAAGGGUCACCUAAGGCCAAAGGAAAACACAGAUGUUUACAUUACAAUUCAUAACAGUAGUAAAAUUACAGUUUUGAAGUAUCAACAGACAAUCUUUUGGUUGGGGGUCACCACAACAUGAGGAACUGUAUUAGAGGGUCCCAGGAAGAUUGAGAACCACUGGUCUAAACUAUGAAAAGAAAUAUCUAAGUCCUUGAGUCUAGAUCAUGCUUUCAAGUCUCUCAGGGAAAAUUAUAAAUUUUCUAUUGACAUCAUUGACCAAAAUUAAGUAAUUAUUUUUAUUUCCCUAUGUGUAUGAUAAAUAAACAAAUACUUUGGAAAAUUA